AGUUUGAUCCUGGCUCACAUUGAACGCUGGCGGCAUGCCUUACACAUGCAAGUCGAACGGCAGCACGGGAGCAAUCCUGGUGGCGAGUGGCGAACGGGUGAGUAAUAUAUCGGAACGUGCCCAGUAGUGGGGGAUAGCCCGGCGAAAGCCGGAUUAAUACCGCAUACGACCUGAGGGUGAAAGCGGGGGAUCGCAAGACCUCGCGCUAUUGGAGCGGCCGAUAUCAGAUUAGCUAGUUGGUGGGGUAAAGGCCUACCAAGGCUACGAUCUGUAGUUGGUCUGAGAGGACGACCAGCCACACUGGGACUGAGACACGGCCCAGACUCCUACGGGAGGCAGCAGUGGGGAAUUUUGGACAAUGGGCGCAAGCCUGAUCCAGCAAUGCCGCGUGCAGGAAGAAGGCCUUCGGGUUGUAAACUGCUUUUGUCAGGGAAGAAAUCUUCUGGGCUAAUACCCCGGGAGGAUGACGGUACCUGAAGAAUAAGCACCGGCUAACUACGUGCCAGCAGCCGCGGUAAUACGUAGGGUGCGAGCGUUAAUCGGAAUUACUGGGCGUAAAGCGUGCGCAGGCGG
rnacentral:rRNA from 1 species